GACGAACGCUGGCGGCGUGCCUAAUACAUGCAAGUAGAACGCUGAAGGAGGAGCUUGCUCUUCUUGGAUGAGUUGCGAACGGGUGAGUAACGCGUAGGUAACCUGCCUGGUAGCGGGGGAUAACUAUUGGAAACGAUAGCUAAUACCGCAUAAUAGUAGAUGUUGCAUGACAUUUGCUUAAAAGGUGCAACUGCAUCACUACCAGAUGGACCUGCGUUGUAUUAGCUAGUUGGUGAGGUAACGGCUCACCAAGGCAACGAUACAUAGCCGACCUGAGAGGGUGAUCGGCCACACUGGGGCUGAGACACGGCCCAGACUCCUACGGGGGGCAGCAGUAGGGAAUCUUCGGCAAUGGACGGAAGUCUGACCGAGCAACGCCGCGUGAGUGAAGAAGGUUUUCGGAUCGUAAAGCUCUGUUGUAAGAGAAGAACGAGUGUGAGAGUGGAAAGUUCACACUGUGACGGUAUCUUACCAGAAAGGGACGGCUAACUACGUGC
rnacentral:rRNA from 1 species